CCAUUAUUUUGACCAGAUACUCUAGGGGCCGCUCUAACAAUGAAAUGUAUAUGAAAUAAUGUAUUAAAAAAUGAAAGGCAGUCGGGAGGAGGCAAGAUCAGGUGGCACCAUUCCAGCCAAGGAGAGGGAAGACACGCGUGUAAACAACAGGCACAACAGUUUCCACAGCCACAAAGUCCAAAUUGGCUUGGCCUAUCGUAAAAAUGAAUGAAAACAAAAAUGUGGUUUUUGGUUUUGAUUUAAGGUUAGGCAUAAGUUUAGCACUGGUUAAGAUUAGGUUUAAAAUCAAAUUUUAUUAAGAGAAACGAUAGAAACUGGCGUGUUUCUGACUUUAUGGCUGUGGUAACUAGUGACGACCAGGCCCAACUCCGAUAUAAAGUGUUAUAUCAAAUUCGACACUCUUUGACCUCCAUACAAAAAUCGCCACCUGCUGGAGAAGACAGAUUUUGGGCCCAAUUAUCCCUCUGGUAAACCACGACUAGUCCCAUGGGUAUGAGGGUCUCCGUUUACGGCGAAGUUGGACACAGUGUAAUUGCUACAAGGUUCAUCUCAAAACGGAUACAUCUAAUCAGAUAACAAUAAGCCAGACAAACCCCAUUCCAGGACCUGAGAGACCUAUUGUUAUCCUUAGAGGACUCGGUGAGUGACCAACCCAAUGACGUCAUCAACAAAAAGCUGCGGAGGAAUGACCCACCACCAGAGGGCUUUCGAGGGGGUGGGGGGAGCAGGUUCUCCCUCCACCUGCUGCAGCUACCAGCCAACCUCCAGCCCUGAGCUGGACUCAGACAGUCAGUCGAGUCCACAUCACAGAGCGCGGCCCUGAGCCGACUGGAUGUCAUAGAAAACCGCAUCCGAAAUCGUCAACAGGCCAGGGACGGACCAGCGCUGUUGGCUGAUAGGCGUAUUACCAACAGCCCCCCAGGAGAAGGAGAAGCCCCUGCCUGCCCAGUCCAGCAGUGACCUCAGCAUGAAGGGGAAACGCUUCCUGAAGAAGAGACAUGUAAGAGACACAGCAUGUAUCACCUGCUGUAGCGCCUAAGGAGAAAGGCCUGGAUCUUGAUGCCACGCCAUAGGGUAGUUCCAAACCCGGUACUUCAAUAAGGGUGGCCGGUAGAGGUGUGACUCUGGACAGUGAUGAGGAGGAUAUGAGGAAACUCCUGGGGGGCUCUUUUGAGUCGCCAGAGUAUAGCCUGCACAAAGAAGCAAGAGAAUCUUCACAGAUGACAACUAGAAAGUUGUUCAUCCAAAGCAGCCAGGUUUCCCCGUCACCUCCACUGGCAGACCGAUCAUCUUCAGUCAGAGCCCAGUCCCGCUCUCCACCCUCUCCUCCGUGCAGCGGAUCACCCAGUCGCUUCUCCAGCCGAGUCCUGGACCAGCGCAGUCCUUUUCUCUCCAUCCGCAGUGCCUCAGUAGUCCUCGCUCCAUCACCCUAUCCCCCCUACGCCCCCUCCCCAGGCAGUCAGGGAUCCCCACGGGCCAGGCACCUCAAACCCUCCCGUUCCUCAGUGUCACCCCUCAGUGAGAUGUGCUCCCUGGUCGAGCUCUUCCCUGAGGCCCUGGACGCUCUGGCGGAGCGUCAGUGAGAGAAGUGGAGUCUCUGAUGAAUUCAACAUUAAUAUUAUGACACUGGACGACCUCGCACCGGUCACGCUUGGAAUGUCGGAGAAAAAAAAAGAAAAAAAGUGUGUGAUAAUGACAGCCAGUGGUACUGGAGGUGUGAGGAGAGGAUCCCAUCAGAAGAGAGUGAGAUAAAGACUGAAACAGACCGGAGUAGUGUCAGCGAGAUCUCCGAGCACCUGGGAGACAGAGACGGGGACAAAGAUGCGUUGGGAGGUCAGCGAGGUCAUGGACUACAGCGUCUCAGACACAUCUUGGAGCGACAAGUACUCCAGUGUCUCAGAGAAGGACAAUCAGUCCCACAUCAACCACAGACUACAGUAAAAUCGCUGAUUCAUUCCGUGGCAGCAGGGCUUUCUAUUCCAGGUCAUCUCGCUCCCACUCUGUGGCUGAAACUAUCAUGCCGUCUCAAGUUUUGAAGAGACACUCGCCCAGGUGUGUGAGAGAGGCCCCAGUGCAGACCCAACCAGACUGACUGGCCUUCACCUUGUCCGAGAUGCAGACCCAACCAGACGGACUGGCCUUCACCUUGUCUGAGAUGUAGACCCAACCAGACGGACUGGCCUUCACCUUGUCUGAGAUGCAGACCCAACCAGACGGACUGGCCUUCACCUUGUUCGAGAUGCAGAC